rnacentral:rRNA from 1 species
AAGUCGUAACAAGGUUUCCGUAGGUGAACCUGCGAAGGAUCAUUACAGAGUUCAUGCCCUUAUGGGUAGAUCUCCCACCCUUGAGUAUUAUACCUUUGUUGCUUUGGCAGGCCGCUUCGGCUACUGGCUUCGGCUAGUAAGUGCCUGCCAGAGGACCCCAAACUCUGAAUGUUAGUGUCGUCUGAGUACUAUAUAAUAGUUAAAACUCUCAACAACGGAUCUCUUGGUUCUGGCAUCGAUGAAGAACGCAGCGAAAUGCGAUAAGUAAUGUGUAUUGCAGAAUUCAGUGAAUCAUCGAAUCUUUGAACGCACAUUGCGCUCGCCAGUAUUCUGGCGAGCAUGCCUGUUCGAGCGUCAUUUCAACCAUCAAGCUCUGCUUGCGUUGGGGAUCCGCGGCUGCCCGCGGUCCCUCAAAAACAGUGGCGGGCUCGCUAGUCACACCGAGCGUAGUAACUCUACAUCGCUAUGGUCGUGCGGCGGGUUCUUGCCGUAAAACCCCCCAAUUUCUAAGGUUGACCUCGGAUCAGGUAGGAAUACCCGCUGAACUUAA